UAUAUAAUCAGUUUGUUUCAAAAUCGUUUUAUUUUUUUUUAACUUGAAAUAAAUUGCAAAUGAAAGAGUAAUGCUUAAGAAGCUGCUCUUAGUUUUGGUUUGCAUUGCACUUUUUGGCUUGCACAACACAUUUAGUCCUUAUUUCAUACAUUGGCGAUCAAUAAAAUCGAUUCCAGGACAAUGCAGAUGGCAGGAUGAAAGAAUAUGUGAAGAAAUUUGUUUGGCUAGAAAUUGUAAAACACUUUGUCGUAACGUUAAGAAAUGCAAGUGGUCGCGCUAAACAAAUUGCAAAUGUUAAAUAACAAAUUGUUUGUACUUUUAA